UACGGGGGGAGCAAGCGUUGUUCGGAUUUACUGGGCGUAAAGGGCGCGUAGGCGGCCACUGCAAGUCGGUUGUGAAAUCUCCGGGCUUAACCCGGAAAGGUCAACCGAUACUGCAGGGCUAGAGUGCGGAAGGGGCAACUGGAAUUCUCGGUGUAGCGGUGAAAUGCGUAGAUAUCGAGAGGAACACCUGCGGCGAAGGCGGGUAGCUGGGCCGACACUGACGCUGAGGCGCGAAAGCCAGGGGAGCGAACGGG
rnacentral:rRNA from 1 species